UGGAGAGUUUGAUCCUGGCUCAGAGUGAACGCUGGCGGCGUGCCUAACACAUGCAAGUCGAACGAUGAAGUCCUUCGGGAUGGAUUAGUGGCGCACGGGUGAGUAAUGCAUAGAUAAUGUGCCCCUUAGUUCGGGAUAGCCACUGGAAACGGUGAUUAAUACCGGAUACUCCUUCUUGCCUCAAGGCAAGUCGGGAAAGUUUUUCGCUAAGGGAUCAGUCUAUGUUCCAUCAGGUAGUUGGUGAGGUAAUGGCUCACCAAGCCUAUGACGGAUAUCUGGUUUGAGAGGAUGAUCAGACACACUGGAACUGAGACACGGUCCAGACUCCUACGGGAGGCAGCAGUGAGGAAUAUUGCACAAUGGAGGAAACUCUGAUGCAGCAACGCCGCGUGGAGGAUGACGCAUUUCGGUGUGUAAACUCCUUUUAUUAGGGAAGAUAAUGACGGUACCUAAUGAAUAAGCUCCGGCUAACUCC
rnacentral:rRNA from 1 species